AGAGAAUGAAGGCAAAGGGGGAAUCAAAGCUGGAAAGGCAGAAACAAGCGACCCAAGGCGCCUGCUUGGCACCAAACGACUCCUCAGGAUCCAAAUUCCCGGCAAAGCACAAACAACCAUGGCAAGAAACUGCUUGGAGCGCUUUCUGCCAUCUUCUCACCAAGUUCAGGAGUCAGCACUUCUGAAUGCGUCUCGUCUACACCAUGCACCAUAUAGGCACUUCUACAUACUGUCCAUUCUCAUUACUUAGGGUACUUACGCCCUACAAAAUCACUGCAGACCUCGAACCUCUGGUCAGAACAUUUUCAUUAACCAAUCAAUACAUAGCCUUGUUUUAUGAGCUUC